rnacentral:misc_RNA from 1 species
GAUGAAGAACGUAGCGAAAUGCGAUAAGUAGUGUGUAUUGCAGAAUUCAGUGAAUCGUCGAAUCUUUGAACGCACAUUGCGCCCUUUGGUAUUCCAAAGGGCAUGCCUGUUCGAGCGUCAUUUGUACCCUCAAGCUUUGCUUGGUGUUGGGCGUCUUGUCUCUAGCUUUGCUGGAGACUCGCCUUAAAGUAAUUGGCAGCCGGCCUACUGGUUUCGGAGCGCAGCACAAGUCGCACUCUCUAUCAGCAAAGGUCUAGCAUCCACUAAGCCUUUUUUUCAACUUUUGACCUCGGAUCAGGUAGGGAUACCCGCUGAACUUAAGCAUAUCAAUAAGCGGAGGA